ACGUACCUACGGGGGGCAGCAGUCGAGAAUCAUACACAAUGGGGGAAACCCUGAUGCAGCGACGCCGCGUGAGUGAAGAAGUAUUUCGGUACGUAAAGCUCUAUCAGCAGGGAAGAAAAUGACGGUACCUGACUAAGAAGCCCCGGCUAACUACGUGCCAGCAGCCGCGGUAAUACGUAGGGGGCAAGCGUUAUCCGGAUUUACUGGGUGUAAAGGGAGCGUAGACGGCAGCGCAAGUCUGGAGUGAAAUGCCGGGGCCCAACCCCGGAACUGCUUUGGAAACUGUGCAGCUCGAGUGCAGGAGG
rnacentral:rRNA from 1 species